rnacentral:misc_RNA from 1 species
CACCACUCAAGCCUCGCUUGGUAUUGGGCAACGUGGUCCGCCGCGUGCCUCAAAUCGACCGGCUGGGUCUUCUGUCCCCUAAGCGUUGUGGAAACUAUUCGCUAAAGGGUGUUCGGGAGGCUACGCCGUAAAACAACCCCAUUUCUAA